rnacentral:rRNA from 1 species
ACGCUAGCUACAGGCUUAACACAUGCAAGUCGAGGGGCAGCAUGGUCUUAGCUUGCUAAGGCCGAUGGCGACCGGCGCACGGGUGAGUAACACGUAUCCAACCUGCCGUCUACUCUUGGACAGCCUUCUGAAAGGAAGAUUAAUACAAGAUGGCAUCAUGAGUCCGCAUGUUCACAUGAUUAAAGGUAUUCCGGUAGACGAUGGGGAUGCGUUCCAUUAGAUAGUAGGCGGGGUAACGGCCCACCUAGUCUUCGAUGGAUAGGGGUUCUGAGAGGAAGGUCCCCCACAUUGGAACUGAGACACGGUCCAAACUCCUACGGGAGGCAGCAGUGAGGAAUAUUGGUCAAUGGGCGAGAGCCUGAACCAGCCAAGUAGCGUGAAGGAUGACUGCCCUAUGGGUUGUAAACUUCUUUUAUAAAGGAAUAAAGUCGGGUAUGGAUACCCGUUUGCAUGUACUUUAUGAAUAAGGAUCGGCUAACUCCGUGCCAGCAGCCGCGGUAAUACGGAGGAUCCGAGCGUUAUCCGGAUUUAUUGGGUUUAAAGGGAGCGUAGAUGGAUGUUUAAGUCAGUUGUGAAAGUUUGCGGCUCAACCGUAAAAUUGCAGUUGAUACUGGAUAUCUUGAGUGCAGUUGAGGCAGGCGGAAUUCGUGGUGUAGCGGUGAAAUGCUUAGAUAUCACGAAGAACUCCGAUUGCGAAGGCAGCCUGCUAAGCUGCAACUGACAUUGAGGCUCGAAAGUGUGGGUAUCAAACAGGAUUAGAUACCCUGGUAGUCCACACGGUAAACGAUGAAUACUCGCUGUUUGCGAUAUACAGCAAGCGGCCAAGCGAAAGCGUUAAGUAUUCCACCUGGGGAGUACGCCGGCAACGGUGAAACUCAAAGGAAUUGACGGGGGCCCGCACAAGCGGAGGAACAUGUGGUUUAAUUCGAUGAUACGCGAGGAACCUUACCCGGGCUUAAAUUGCAGAUGAAUUACGGUGAAAGCCGUAAGCCGCAAGGCAUCUGUGAAGGUGCUGCAUGGUUGUCGUCAGCUCGUGCCGUGAGGUGUCGGCUUAAGUGCCAUAACGAGCGCAACCCUUGUUGUCAGUUACUAACAGGUCAUGCUGAGGACUCUGACAAGACUGCCAUCGUAAGAUGUGAGGAAGGUGGGGAUGACGUCAAAUCAGCACGGCCCUUACGUCCGGGGCUACACACGUGUUACAAUGGGGGGUACAGAGGGCCGCUACCACGCGAGUGGAUGCCAAUCCCAAAAACCUCUCUCAGUUCGGACUGGAGUCUGCAACCCGACUCCACGAAGCUGGAUUCGCUAGUAAUCGCGCAUCAGCCACGGCGCGGUGAAUACGUUCCCGGGCCUUGUACACACCGCCCGUCAAGCCAUGGGAGCCGGGGGUACCUGAAGUGCGUAACCGCGAGGAGCGCCCUAGGGUAAAACUGGUGACUGGGGCUAA